UUCAUCGUUUAAUUUUGACCAAUCACCGCCCAGGCUUGCAUUUCAAGUAAGUCACGUGACUCACUUGAAACCCAGGACCUGUUGCUGUGGUUUGGUGACGUCAUCGACACGUGU
rnacentral:precursor_RNA from 10 species